AACGAACGCUGGCGGCAGGCCUAACACAUGCAAGUCGAGCGAGGACUUCGGUCCUAGCGGCGGACGGGUGAGUAACGCGUGGGAACGUGCCCUUUGCUUCGGAAUAGCCCUGGGAAACUGGGAGUAAUACCGGAUGAGCCCUUUGGGGGAAAGAUUUAUCGGCGAAGGAUCGGCCCGCGUUGGAUUAGGUAGUUGGUGGGGUAAUGGCCUACCAAGCCGACGAUCCAUAGCUGGUUUGAGAGGAUGAUCAGCCACACUGGGACUGAGACACGGCCCAGACUCGCAGGGGGGGCAGCAGGGGGAAAUUUUAGAAAAGGGGGGAAACCCUGCUCCGCCCGUGCCGGGUGAGCGAUGAGGGCCUGAGGGGUGUAAAGCUCUUUCAGCGGGGAAGAUAAGGGCGGUACAAGCAGAAGAAGCCCCGGCAACCCCCG
rnacentral:rRNA from 1 species